rnacentral:rRNA from 1 species
AUACGUAGGUGACAAGCGUUGUCCGGAAUUACUGGGCGUAAAGAGCUCGUAGGUGGUUUGUCGCGUCGUCUGUGAAAUUCCGGGGCUUAACUCCGGGCGUGCAGGCGAUACGGGCAUAACUUGAGUACUGUAGGGGAGACUGGAAUUCCUGGUGUAGCGGUGAAAUGCGCAGAUAUCAGGAGGAACACCGGUGGCGAAGGCGGGUCUCUGGGCAGUAACUGACGCUGAGGAGCGAAAGCAUGGGUAGCGAACAGGAUUAGAUACCCUGGUAGUCCAUGCCGUAAACGGUGGGCGCUAGGUGUAGGGGUCUUCCACGACUUCUGUGCCGUAGCUAACGCAUUAAGCGCCCCGCCUGGGGAGUACGGCCGCAAGGCUAAAACUCAAAUGAAUUGACGGGG